rnacentral:rRNA from 1 species
GACUCCACGAAGUUGGAUUCGCUAGUAAUCGCGCAUCAGCCAUGGCGCGGUGAAUACGUUCCCGGGCCUUGUACACACCGCCCGUCAAGCCAUGGGAGCCGGGGGCGCCUGAAGUCCGGGACCGCGAGGACCGGCCUAGGGCGAAACUGGUAACUGGGGCUAAGUCGUAACAAGGUACC